UGGCGCACGGGUGCGUAACGCGUAUGCAACCUACCUUCCACUGGGGGAUAGCCCGCCGAAAGGCGGAUUAAUACCGCAUAUGACCACAGGAGGGCAUCCGAUUGUGGUAAAAGCCGAGGCGGUGGAAGAUGGGCAUGCGUGCCAUUAGCUAGAUGGCGGGGUAACGGCCCACCAUGGCGACGAUGGCUAGGGGUUCUGAGAGGAUGGUCCCCCACACUGGUACUGAGACACGGACCAGACUCCUACGGGAGGCAGCAGUAGGGAAUAUUGGGCAAUGGCCGAGAGGCUGACCCAGCCAUGCCGCGUGCAGGAAGAAGGCCUUCUGGGUUGUAAACUGCUUUUAUACGGGAAGAAAACGCCCCUGCGGGGGUAACUGACGGUACCGUAUGAAUAAGCACCGGCUAACUCCGUGCCAGCAGCCGCGGUAAUACGGAGGGUGCAAGCGUUGUCCGGAUUUAUUGGGUUUAAAGGGGGCGUAGGCGGCCCGUUAAGUCAGCGGUGAAAUCCCACGGCUCAACCGUGGAACUGCCGUUGAUACUGGCGGGCUUGAGUUCGGUUAAGGCGGGCGGAACUGGCGGUGUAGCGGUGAAAUGCUUAGAUACCGCCAAGAACCCCGAUUGCGUAGGCAGCUCGCUGAGCCGAAACUGACGCUGAGGCACGAAAGCGUGGGGAGCGAACAGGAUUAGAUACCCUGGUAGUCCACGCCGUAAACGAUGAUGACUCGAUGUUGGCGAUACAC
rnacentral:rRNA from 1 species